CUCUUGCAAAAUAAUGAAUAAGAGGUCCCGCCUGCCCUGUGACUCUAAGUUUAACGGCCGCGGUAUUUUGACCGUGCGAAGGUAGCGCAAUCACUUGUCUUUUAAAUGGAGACCUGUAUGAAUGGCAUAACGAGGGCUUAGCUGUCUCCUUUCUCUAGUCAAUGAAAUUGAUCUCCCCGUGCAGAAGCGGGGAUAGAACCAUAAGACGAGAAGACCCUAUGGAGCUUUAGACGCCAAGGCAGACCAUGUUAAACACCUCCCCAUAAGGAGCCCAAACCAAAUGGUCCCUGCCCUAGUGUCUUUGGUUGGGGCGACCGCGGGGAAACAUAAAACCUACAACUGAGAGCUACGGCUCUAAUGAACAGAAUUUCUGACCAACAAGAUCCGGCAAUGCCGAUCAACGGACCGAGUUACCCUAGGGAUAACAGCGCAAUCCCCUUUUAGAGCCCAUAUCGACAAGGGGGUUUACGACCUCGAUGUUGGAUCAGGACAUCCUAAUGGUGCAGCCGCUAUUAAGGGUUCGUUUGUUCAACGAUUAAAUC
rnacentral:rRNA from 1 species